rnacentral:rRNA from 1 species
GAUGAACGCUGGCGGCGUGCCUAAUACAUGCAAGUCGAGCGAACAGACGAGGAGCUUGCUCCUCUGACUUUAGCGGCGGACGGGUGAGUAACACGUGGAUAACCUACCUAUAUGACUGGGAUAACUUCGUGAAACCGGAGCUAAUACCGGAUAAUAUAUUGAACCGCAUGGUUCAAUAGUGAAAGACGGUUUUGCUUUCACUUAUAGAUGGAUCCGCGCCGCAUUAGCUAGUUGGUAAGGUAACGGCUUACCAAGGCAACGAUGCGUAGCCGACCUGAGAGGGUGAUCGGCCACACUGGAACUGAGACACGGUCCAGACUCCUACGGGAGGCAGCAGUAGGGAAUCUUGCGCAAUGGGCGAAAGCCUGACGGAGCAACGCCGCGUGAGUGAUGAAGGUCUUCGGAUCGUAAAACUCUGUUAGUAGGGAAGAACAAAUGAGUAAGUAACUAUGCACGUAUUGACGGUACCUAAUCAGAAAGCCACGGCUAACUCCGUG